GUUCAAAGCCAGCUUCAACAACAACUUAACAAGGCCUUAAGUAAUUCAGGGAGGCCCUGACUCUAAAUAAAACAUAAAAAAAAAGAGCUGGGGAUGUGACUCAGUGGUUAAGCAACCCCUGGGUUCAAUUCUGGAUCAAAAAAAAAAAAAAAAAAAGACUACAGAAACAGCAUGCUUCCACAGUUAGCUCUAAAGAGAGAAGACAGAUGGUAGGGGAAAUAAAGUGGCCUACACGGCUGAAAUGCAGAUUCUGUUUAUUCUUCUCUUAGCAAGUGUUAUCUACUGAAGAAUUACUUUUGGAAGGUUUAACUUUUAAUAUUUUUUUAAAGGAUCCCUCUGGCUGUUGUUUUGAAAAUAACAGUGAAAACAGAAGAACUGAGAGGCUGUAGCAAUAAUCUGGGCAAGAGGCAUGGACAGGAUACAUCAAGGGCAAGAUGGCUGCAGUGGGGGUGGUCAGUUUCAAAAUUGAUUUUCAAGCUGGAGCCCAAAGGAUUUGUGCAUUGAGAGAAGGUUGAGAACAAGGUUUUGGGUUGCACAGGAGUGCCACUAAUUGAAGUGAAGAAGGGAAUUAGUGCCACUAAUUGAAGCUGAGGAGGGAAAUGUCACUUUUGUUUGAGAUGUUGACUAAACAGUGUAGACAGGAGGGGUCUGGCUAGGGAAACCAAUGGUCCUCAGUGUUUGAAUGGAUGAGGAACAAGUGUGUUGUAUAUGGAUUGAGACUGGUUACUCCAACCCUCGAGCCUUGGAGCAAAUAACAAAGGAGAUACGAGUGGCUGGUGAAUGGGGAGAACCCCUGGGCCAUGUCAGUUCUCUGCCCCACUAAGUGUCCUGCCUAAGGGCUUCACAGGAAUGGCUUGAAUCCAGAAUAUGAACUGGAUUGUGGCAAAAGGUGAGUCAGUGCUCCUUGACAGCAAGUUAGAUAUGAACAGAUAACUCCAUAGCAAGGAGGAGAGAAAAUAGACAAGAGCUUCUAAAUCUUCACUUCUCCCCAUUCUCAUUGGUCCAAUCCAUUAGGAUCUCUUACCUGGAUGACACCUCCUAACUUUUGUCACUUUAACACUCACACCUCUCACCAAAACCUUCAGUGGCUUCCCAGUGUCUUUAGAAUUAACUAACCCAAACUCCUAGCCAUGUCCCCUGCUGCCCUCUAGAUCAUCUCUGGAUCUCUUCUUCAUCCUUCCUCUUCUCUAAUUAACACUUUCUUUUCCUUCAGACCUCUUCAGGACACAUGUGGGGAUGAAUGCCCAGGACUAUACAUACAUAGAGAGAGCUAUACCAGGAUAUACUCCAGGGUAACCAAACUAGAAACUCAUGUCAAAAGGUGAAAUGAAAAUGUAGGCUGAAUUCUAUUAGUAAUACUGCAGUAAAGCUCUCUGAAAUCAUGUCACCUACCCAGUCCGCCAAUCUGAAAUAAACUCUCGAUUUCACCUGUAAAACCUGGGCACAGACUGUUGGGCCACUAUUGUGACUAAACAGUUCUGCUUCCAUCUUCUGGAUUACCUACUUCCUGUGAGGUAGUUGUUCCCAAACCUGUUUAUCCAAUUGUUCUUAAGUUAAUAAUUUAAUCCACUAUCAAAUGUUAAUGUGGGCUGGAGUUGUGGCUCAAUGGUAGAGCGAUUACCUAGCAUGUGUGAGGCACUGGGUUC
rnacentral:lncRNA from 1 species